CCUACGGGAGGCAGCAGUGAGGAAUAUUGGUCAAUGGGCGCAAGCCUGAACCAGCCAAGUAGCGUGAAGGAUGACGGCCCUAUGGGUUGUAAACUGCUUUUAUACAGGGAUAAAGUGAGACACGUGUGCCUUUUUGUAUGUACUGUAUGAAUAAGGAUCGGCUAACUCCGUGCCAGCAGCCGCGGUAAUACGGAGGAUCCGAGCGUUAUCCGGAUUUAUUGGGUUUAAAGGGCGCGUAGGCGGGCUGUUAAGUCAGAUGUGAAAUGCCGGGGCUCAACCGUGGAAUUGCCGUUGAUACUGGCAGGCUUGAGUGCAGUUGAGGUAGGCGGAAUUCGUGGUGUAGCGGUGAAAUGCUUAGAUAUCACGAAGAACACCGAUUGCGAAGGCAGCUUACUAAACUACUACUGACGUUGAUGCUCGAAAGCGUGGGUAUCAAACAGGAUUAGAUACCCUGGUAGUC
rnacentral:rRNA from 1 species